AUUGAACGCUGGCGGCAUGCCUUACACAUGCAAGUCGAACGGUAACAGGUCUUCGGAUGCUGACGAGUGGCGAACGGGUGAGUAAUACAUCGGAACGUGCCCAGACGUGGGGGAUAACGAGGCGAAAGCUUUGCUAAUACCGCAUACGAUCUAAGGAUGAAAGCAGGGGACCGCAAGGCCUUGCGCGUUUGGAGCGGCCGAUGGCAGAUUAGGUAGUUGGUGGGAUAAAAGCUUACCAAGCCGACGAUCUGUAGCUGGUCUGAGAGGACGACCAGCCACACUGGGACUGAGACACGGCCCAGACUCCUACGGGAGGCAGCAGUGGGGAAUUUUGGACAAUGGGCGAAAGCCUGAUUCAGCAAUGCCGCGUGCAGGAUGAAGGCCUUCGGGUUGUAAACUGCUUUUGUACGGAACGAAAAGGCUCUGGCUAAUACCUGGGGCACAUGACGGUACCGUAAGAAUAAGCACCGGCUAACUACGUG
rnacentral:rRNA from 1 species